GAAACUGGCUCCACCACCCUGGUGAUAGGAACAGAAGGUCCUAUGGAGUCUUCCCAUAGCAAGAAACCAGGCUUGUAACAGGGUGUAAUAGAGUGACACCCCACACCUGAUGCCCUGUAAAUGCAGAGUCUGCAAAUGCCUCUCUUUUGAUGCUUUCUCAAGGUAAGUCAUAAAUGAAGUCUUACUGCUUUAAAAAAGUAGCUUGCCAACAGUUGCCCAGGCUCCCCAUGGGACUGCGCUUCACUGAGCACCUGAAGAAAGUAUUCACUGGAAAUGGGCUCUCCUGGGAGACUGUCUGGAUCCCGAGUGUCUGGCGUUCAUGUUCCCACACCUGGCUGCUGCUUCUUGCCCUUCCUUGGCUGCAGGUGUGAGUGCUUGUUUGUUUAAACCUCGCUCAGCACUGCUUGGAAAAACAAAACAACAUGGUUACUUGUCUGGGCAUUGAAUGUUCUUCCUGAAUUUUGGUCCUGCCCAUUGGCCCAGAGGCGGAAUGGGUGGGGCAAGUUUCGGUGUGAGUUUGGGAAGUUUCGAGAAGACGCUAUGGGCUGGGUCUGUUAGGUUGGGGUUGCUCUUGGUUUUAAUCCUUUUGGAAUGUCUUGAGGGUCAGGAGCGUUGCCAUUGAUGGCUAUGGGAGUUGUCAGGCUGUGGCUCUCUUUCUCACAGAGAAUGCCAGAGGCACUCGGGAAGGCAUUUGCCAGGGCUCUGACAGAUGUAAAGUAAGCCUUAUCCAUGUUGUGUUCUCACCUGGACACCUGGAAGGUGCUCAGUAUAGAAAAGUCACGAGCUAGAUGAGAUACCAGCUUGAUGUCGACUCCCUCCCCAACAAUGGCUGCCUGUCUUCGUCUUGAUGCCUGCCAGCAGGAAAGCACUGUCUUAGAACCUGGCUCACCUGAUUUUGCCGAUGAGUCAACUUUGAAGUGUGCCUCAUUCUGGAAAGUGAAUCACGUAAUCACAAAUAAAAAAUUGAAUUAGUUUCCAACAUUUCACAAUCAAGAGAUUUCACAGAUGAAACUAGUUUUUCUGGAAAAAUGAGAAGAUCUGGAAAUCCUGGGCCUGCAUUCCCAUAUGGCAACAGUAAGCUGGAGCUGAGUAAGGUAGUUAGAGGAAAUAAGAGCAAAUUGCUUAAUUGCUUCAAAUAUUCUGGAAGGCAAGCAUUCCAAGCACAUCUUACUCUUUUGGCUGUUGGAGUCAUAGGUCUUCAAUCCUCCUAACACAGGAAGAAUCUUCACCGCUAAAAAUCUGGCAUAAUUUUUUUACACUCACAAGAAAACCUGUCGUAGGAGAAGAAGUGACCUCAUGGUCCAGAUGUUUUACUGCCUCUAGUAUUGCAAAUCCCAGUGGAGAAGGUUCCUGGUUGAACCAUGAAUUGAAACACCUAGCAUUGAAAUUGGAUCAUGAUGGACACCUGACUCAUGGUGGGCAAACUGGAUCUUUUCUUCUGGGAAUUAGACUUGGAAAUUCAGAGAAAACAAGUCAGUUUGUAUGCAUGCCUUGGAUUGAGAGACAUGAACAUUUUGGACUGGAGGUGCGGGCAUCUUCUCCCACUUGCACAAAGAAAGCAGAUUUUCAGGAAAAUAAGACAAAAGCAGAUAUACAAAGAAAGAAAAAGACAAGAGUUCAUGAGAUCUAACAGAGGAACUGGUUAAUGAUGACUUUCCAGUUUCUGGUUGUAGCCUUCAUGAAGCCUGGCUUAUAAUAUACAGUGUUAUUAUUAUUUAUUCUCAAGUCAGUUUCUGUUCCUGCAAUCAAGUAUUACUAUAUAAGAUGGCUUUACUUUUGGGUGUUUUUGGAAAUAUCUCUAGUGAGCAUGUAUUACUACUAGAAUAUUAUAGUGUACAUAAUGAUUGAUGUAUUUUUAAAAAACA
rnacentral:lncRNA from 10 species